rnacentral:rRNA from 1 species
AUUGAACGCUGGCGGCAUGCUUUACACAUGCAAGUCGAGCGGCAGCGCGGGGGCAACCCUGGCGGCGAGCGGCGAACGGGUGAGUAAUGCAUCGGAACGUAUCCUCGAGUGGGGGAUAACCCAGCGAAAGUUGGGCUAAUACCGCAUGAGCUCUGAGGAGGAAAGCGGGGGACCUGCGAGGGCCUCGCGCUGGAGGAGCGGCCGAUGUCCGAUUAGCUAGUUGGUGGGGUAAAGGCUUACCAAGGCGACGUUCGGUAGCUGGUCUGAGAGGAUGAUCAGCCACACUGGGACUGAGACACGGCCCAGACUCCUACGGGAGGCAGCAGUGGGGAAUUUUGGACAAUGGGGGCAACCCUGAUCCAGCCAUGCCGCGUGAGUGAAGAAGGCCUUCGGGUUGUAAAGCUCUUUCGGACGGAACGAAACGGGCGGGACUAAUACUCCUGUCUGAUGACGGUACCGUAAGAAGAAGCACCGGCUAACUACGUG